rnacentral:rRNA from 1 species
UACGUAGGGGGGCAAGCGUUGUCCGGAAUCAUUGGGCGUAAAGCGCGUGUAGGCGGCCCGGUAAGUCCGCUGUGAAAGUCGGGGGCUCAACCCUCGGAUGCCGGUGGAUACUGUCGGGCUAGAGUGCGGGAGAGGCGAGUGGAAUUCCUGGUGUAGCGGUGAAAUGCGCAGAUAUCAGGAGGAACACCAAUUGCGAAGGCAGCUCGCUGGAACGUUACUGACGCUGAGACGCGAAAGCGUGGGGAGCAAACAGG